GGACAGCGGAGCAGAGGAAGACAGCGGAGCAGAGGAAGACGGCGGAGCAGAGCAGAGGAAGACGGCGGAGCAGAGGAAGACCCAUCGUCACACAGUGUGUUGAACUGCGACUCUUCUACACUGAUCUUCAACAAAUACUUGCUCCAUCUGGCCUGAGGAUUUCAUUCUUCGCGUUUGUGGGAGAAGACCUUUAAAAGAAAACGACGUUGAGGGUGAGUUGCUGGGGUGUGCUGCUCUGCACAAAACACCUUUAUUUUAUUUAUUUACUUUUAUGUGGUGCUGAAGAUGGAACCCAGGGCCUAGCAUGUGCCAGGUGAGCGCUCUACAGCUGAGCCACAACCCAAGCCCCCCCCCCAAGUCUUGAACGUUCUUAUAGUGAAUUUCUGCUUUUUGUAGUUCUUGUUAUUGACAAAUCUAAAAGAUGUUUUUGUCUUUCUUGUGAAAAUUGUUUUUCUCAAAACCCAGUAUAUCUAUCGUUGAGGUAUCUGAAAGUUAGGCUUCCGGAUCCUGAUGUAAGAAAACGUAGGGUAGCUAGUACUAAGUUCAGGAGGAACCAGGAAAAAAUAUGCAGGGAAGACAAAAAGAACCCCUGAAAAAUGUAAGCUGUUAGGUCUUGAUUUACACGUGCUUAUACACAUAAAGAGGUUUUUCAUCCUAUGAUUAAAAUUUAAUCCAAAUAUUUUAAAUCUAGUUUUAUCAGGAUUUUUCCCUCACAAGUUAUCUUAUUUGGCUUUGGCAUUAAAUAGUCAUUGAAUAAUUAAUGUAAUAACGAAUUUUGCUAAAAAUAAUUUUAAUAUUUUCCUCCUUGUUUCAUCUAUUCAUUUCAUUUUCUUUCCAUGUCUUUUGCAUUUUCCUUUACCUCAUAUUUACGUUAUUAUUCUGAGAACAUGAAGGAAUUUUUUUUCAUAUACUUGAUUGAAUUAUCACAUAAGGUUCUCAUGAAUGGGAUAUGCCAUUCUGACCAAGAUUUGAUAAUUUCAAAGAUAAAAUCAUCCUGUGGCACCUGUGAGAAAGGUAGAUGUCUGUGCAGUUUCUUACUUUCCAGGAUCUUGGCCUCUAUUGUGUGUCCCCAUAGAAAGUGAUGAAGUAUCAUUUCUACCUCUUUCAUUCAAAGACUGAACAAUAUCCCCAGCCUCAACAAUUUAAGUUACUCAGCAUUAAAAGAGAAUAAAAUUAUGGCAUUUGCAUGUAAAUGGAUGGAGUUGGACAAUAUCAUGCUAAAUGAAGUAAGUCAAUCCCUAAAAACCAAAGGCAGAAUAUUCUGAUAAGUGGAUGCUGAUCCAUAGCAGAGAGGGGUUAGACAUGGGAAAAAUGGAGAAAUAUAUUGUUUUUAACUUUAAAAUACAAUAAUCCUUUGUUGGUAUUCAUUCAAUUUCUUUAAUAUAUACAGUACCAUUCAGAUCAUCUACUUAUUUUUGUAGUAGGUCUUUUGGUAGAUUUUGUCUUUCAAGAAAUUAUUCCAUUUCAUCUAGGUUUUCAAAUUUCUGAUUACAUAACUAUUCAUAAUAUUACUUUAUUAUCCUUCUAACAUUCAGAGAAUAUUUAGGAAUGGCCUCUUUUUCAUUUCCAAUAUUAGUAAUUUAUGAUCCCUCCCUCCCUCCCUCCCUCUCUCUCUCUCUCUCCCCCCCCCCUUUAGCUACCUUGAUUAGAUUCUUACCAAUUUUAUCUUUUCAAAAGACCAUCUUUUUUUUUUUUUUCAUUAAUUUUCUCUUUUGGUAUCCUGUUCUCAAUUUCAUUGAGUUCUGCUCUAAUUUUAAUUAUUUCUUUUUUUCCAUUUAUUUAAAAUUUAGUCUGCUUUCCUUUUUCUGGUUUCCUAAGUGAGAAGGAUAAUAAAGUAAUGUUAGAAGGAUAAUAAAGUAAUAUUAUGAAUAGUUAUGUAAUCAGAAAUUUGAAAACCUAGAUGAAAUGGAAUAAUUUCUUGAAAGACAAAAUCUACCAAAAUGCCUACUACAAAAAUAAGUAGAUGAUCUGAAUGGUACUGUAUAUAUUAAAGAAAUUGAAUGAAUACCAAUAAUCAAUAUAUUUCUCCAUUUUUCCCAUGUCUAACCCCUCUCUGCUACGGAUCAGCAUCCACUUAUCAGAAUAUUCUGCCUUUGGUUUUUAGGGAUUGACUUAUUUCAUUUAGCAUGAUAUUGUCCAACUCCAUCCAUUUACAUGCAAAUGCCAUAAUUUUAUUCUCUUUUAAUGCUGAGUAACUUAAAUUGUUGAGGCUGGGGAUAUUGCUCGGUCUUUGAAUGAAAGAGGUAGAAAUGAUACUUCAUCACUUUCUAUGGGGAAACACAAUAGAGGCCAAGAUCCUGGAAAGUAAGAAACUGCACAGACAUCUACCUUUCUCACAGGUGCCACAGGAUAAUUUUAUCUUUGAAAUUAUCAAAUCUUGGUCAGAAUGGCAUAUCCCANUUCCCUCCCACCUCUCAUCCCUGUUUAAUGUUAAUCUUCUUCUCAUGCUCUUCAACCCUACUCUGUUCUUAGUUACUCUCCUUAUAUCAAAGAAGACAUUUGGCAUUUGUUUUUUAGGGAUUGGCUAGCUUCACUUAGCAUAAUCUGCUCUAAUGCCAUCCAUUUCCCUGCAAAUUCUAUGAUUUUGUCAUUUUUUAAUGCAGAGUAAUACUCCAUUGUGUAUAAAUGCCACAUUUUUUUUAUCCAUUCGUCUAUUGAAGGGCAUCUAGGUUGGUUCCACAGUCUUGCUAUUGUGAAUUGUGCUGCUAUGAACAUCGAUGUAGCAGUGUCCCUGUAGCAUGCUCUUUUUAGGUCUUUAGGGAAUAGACCGAGAAGGGGAAUAGCUGGGUCAAAUGGAGGGUCCAUUCCCAGCUUUCAAAGAAAUCUCCAUACUGCUUUCCAAAUUGGCUGCACCAACUUGCAGUCCCACCAGCAGUGUACAAGUGUACCCUUUUCCCCACAUCCUCGCCAGCACUUGUUGUUGUUUGACUUCAUAAUGGCUGCCAAUCUUACUGGAGUGAGAUGGUAUCUUAGGGUGGUUUUGAUUUGCAUUUCUCUGACUGCUAGAGAUGGUGAGCAUUUUUUCAUGUACUUGUUGAUUGAUUGUAUGUCCUCCUCUAAGAAGUGUCUGUUCAGGUCCUUGGCCCAUUUGUUGAUUGGGUUGUUUGUUAUUUUAUUGUCUAAUUUUUUGAGUUCUUUGUAUACUCUGGAUAUUAGGGCUCUAUCUGAAGUGUGAGGAGUAAAGAUUUGUUCCCAGGAUGUAGGCUCCUUAUUUACCUCUCUUAUUGUUUCUUUUGCUGAGAAAAAAACUUUUUAGUUUGAGUAAGUCCCAUAUGUUGAUUCUAGUUAUUAACUUUUGUGCUAUGGGUGAGGUGUUUUUUUUUUUUAAAUAGAACUUCUUUCAAUUUAUUUUUCUUUAUAUUUGGUUACCCACAGUUUGAAUAUGGUAUGCUUAAGGUAUUGAUAUUUUUUACAUUUAUACUGAUUGAUGUUUUAUGAGAGUUCUAUAAAGAUCCAAUGAAUAUGGUAAAGAAAAUUAAGAUUUAUAAGUUAGGUAUACAGCUAUCAAAUAGAUAUGGUCCAUGAUGGAACAUGGACCAUAUGUAAUUUGAAAUGUUCCAAUUACUACAUAUAAAAUGCUGGAAAUCAUAGUAACUAUGAGUGGUAAUGGCUAUAUUAAUUAAUUUGACAUGGUGAUCAAUACAUGAUACAUACAUGAUAUGUGCACAUAUAUCUGUGUGUAUACAUACAUACAAUCGUUUUGCAUACCUGAAUAUAUAGUUUUAUGUGCUGAUUAAACAUUUUAAAGUAAAAAAUAAAAAUCAACAAAUUUAAUUAAUUUUAAUAAUGUAAUUUGACUCAAAUAUAAAUAUUAUUAUUUCAGUACAUGUAUGAUUGCACCUGUGAUGUGACUCUACAUAAUGUACAACCAGAAAAACAAAAUUGUGCUCCAUUUGUGUACAAUGAAUCAAAAAGCUUUCUGCUCUCAUGUAUAACUGAUUAGAACUAAUAAAAAAUAAACGGAAACAAACCCACCUCUCUUCUUUAUAAAUUACCCAUUCUGUGGUCUUCCACUGUAGCAAUAAAAAACAGAAAGACAGGGUUCCUGAGGGAAGCAGAGAUCAGGAGUUCAGGGUUGAGCACCAGAGCCAGACACACUAUCUCUCAUGGAGAGCUUGCUUCUCUCCAGCCCCACGGAGAGAACAAACAGGGGCAAUUCCUCCUGAUGGCUGUUGGAAAAAAGGUCAUUGGGAGGGACUUCUGCUGGUACACUGUCCUCUGGCUAACAGGUUCUUUACCUCCCAUCUUGUUCCUUUCAUUUCUUUCUUAUUAAUAAUUAUAUCUUACUUUUCAAACCCUACAGAACGUUAUUCCAAUAGAUGCUGUCAUGAAGCUGCAGUAUGAAGAAAUCCAUGGCUUGACUCACUCAAGCACCAGAGUAAAAUCCAGGCUCUCCUGUCCAGGCUUCACAUACUCCCCACAGGGGGCCCAGAAAAUUCAGGAAACAUAAGAGGCUCAGGUUGACUUAGGAACAUGUGAUAUUACCAGUAGUUAUGUUCAUAUGACUAUUGGAAAUACAAAUUCCAGUUCUGUAAAAAAUUGAAUAGUACUUAUGUUUUUUUCUGUAUGAACAGUAUACUCAGAUUACUCAAUGUGAAUAGAAAAAAUUUCCUCUUGAAGCUGAAUAUUUGAGAAGUUAUUGAUCUUAUUGAAGCUAUUUCACCAGUAGUUAAAUGUUUAGUAUGAACGUAAAUGAUUUAACUAGUAGACUUUCUUUUUUUAAGCUCCCUCCUUUCAGGAGGAUUUGUUUAACGGAUUAAACAAAAUGAUGGUUUAAGAAUGUUUUUAAAGUCAAAGUUUGUUUUUGUCUUCAGCUUGAACCCAGGCUUUUUGGAAUUUCCUUGAAUUAAGUGUGGUUAUUUAAAAGCACAAGAGAGAAAUCCCUUGUAUUUACCAACUUAUUUAUUUAUAUAUUUUUAAAAUAUAGAUGAAUCUUUUUUUUGUUUAUUUUUAUGUGGUGCUGAGGAUCGAAUCCAUUGCCUCACAUGUGCGAGGCAGGCGCUCUGCCACUGAACCACACCACCAGCCCAUUUACCAACUUUUUUAUUAGCCCUUGCUUAAUUUAGUAUUUUGCCUUCCUUUUUUUAUGUUGAUGAAUUCUUCUUUUUAGCUUUCUCUGGUGUAUAGAUGUCAGUUACGUGUAUCCUUCUGUUUACAUGAGAUAAAUAUUGCUAGUUUAAAAGGGUGGGUCUUUUUCUAGGAAUGUAUUGAGUUGAAGAUGGUAUUUAGGUUGACAGUUUCUGUCUCUUGCCUAUUUAAUUAUCUAAGGAGAACUGUUGAGAAAGCCCACUUGAGGUCUGGGGAUGUAGCUCUGUGAUAGAACACUGGCCUAGCAUUCUUGGGGUCCAGGGUUUGAUCCCGUGCACCAAACAAGAGUAUUUGAGUUCACUAUGUAAACAGAUCCUGCACUGUGGUAUGUGGCUACUUAAGGUUGAGUUUUUAUUGGCUACUUAAGGUUGAGUUUUUAUUGGCUACUUAAGGUUGAGUUUUUAUUGGCUUAUUUUCAGAAAUAAGAGUAGCCCCUUACAUAAUUUCCAGAAUAUAAAUUUUAUUUAGUAAAAGAGUAGGUAGGCACUUUUCAUUUCACACAGCCUUUAUGUUUUGAAUUUUGUUUUUCCUCUCUGAAUUAGUUCCUGGAUGGCUGGAGGUGUAUACUUUUUUUCUUUUAAAUUCAAUACCUUUUAGUUGUCAGUGGACCUUUAUUUUAUUCAUUUAUAUAUGCGGUGCUAAGAAUCCAACCCAGUGCCUCACACAUGCUGGGCAAGUGCUCUACCACUGAGCCACAGCCCCAGACCCUAUAGUUUUCAAUUGUGAUAACAUUGUUUAAAAAUUGAAUUUUUUUUUUUUCUUUUUGAUGUUAAACCAUGUGUUUAAAGGAUGACUCUGCAUUUUCAUUCAGCUUUCAGGUCCUUGUUCAUUUUGAUGCCUAUUUCUCUGCGUAAAACCCAGCAGAAGGAGCCACAACUUUUAAGAGUCUGUUUGUUUACCAAAAAAAGAGAGGAACAUUAGCAUGCCUACUAAGAUAUUUAUAUACCCAUAAACAAUGUAUAGAUUGGUUAGGUGUGGGGUACUGAUAGCUAUUUUUCAAGUGUAGUUUCCUUCCAAAUUUUUCCUAAACUGAUGUUUAAUAUCUCAACAAAAUAGACAACUGCUGAUAUCUAGGCAAAAUAGGAAAUACAUGCUUAUUUAUACACAGGCAUACUUUUGAGUUCCUAAGGCAAGCUGACUUUCAGAUUAGGUUAUCUUUCUGGAAAAGAAACCUGUUAACCGAGAUGAAAGGGGAAUGUUGAGUGGGGUUUGGAGAUUAUUUUGUUACUUUAUGGCAAAAUUCAGAAGCAAAGCAUAUUGGUAUAGCAGUGUAAAUUUGUUAGGUUUCAAUAUGACAUUGAUUUUGUGUGUGUGUGUGUGUGUGUGUGUGUGUGUGUUACUGGGGAUGGAACCCAGGGCCUUGUGCAUGUGAGGCAAGCACUCUGCCAACUGAGGUAUAUCCUCAGCCCUGAUAUGUUUUUAAUCAUAAAUUUUGCCUAGGGUUUUAGUUGACUUUCUUUAAAAAAAAAUUCAAAUUUUUGGUGUUUAUUACCUAUCUCAUUGGUUAAUUUUUGUCUGUUGAGUACAAAAGAAAAAGGAGCUCUUAACUUACACCUUAGCAAGAAACUUUUUUUUUGAGAGUCUAUAAAAUGACUUAUUUUCAUCGGAAGUGGUCAUUUUGGUUUUUUAAUCCAAGAAAAUUCAAUUAAAACUUUGUCCAACCUGCCUCCUAGUUUUAAAAGUACAGAUUUAGUGGUUUAGUGUUAAAUAUAUGUUAAGAGAGGGCAGAAGUCAUUGUAAGAUUAUAAUGAGAAAUAUUAAGUUUCUGUGAAUUUCUGGAAUUUGAAUAAAAAAGAUUUGAUCUCUGCAUUGCUGGUGAGGAUUCUGAUUUGGAUCAAGGUAGGGAGGAAAGAGGGAGGGCUUGUGAACCACAAUUAUUUCUUUCCUCUUCAUCAGUGAUUAACUGAGAACAGGUAACAGGACAUUAAUGAGUGUACAGGAAUUUGCCUUCCCACAGGUAGACUUUGGAACUAGUAAAAGGAACAAAAGUCAGGAAACCUUUUUCCAGUGCUUGUGUCUAGUCUUUCUGAUCUUUCCAUAGCAAUUACAAGUAUUGAAUUACCUCUGGCACUCUGAUCUUGCUUUUUUUUUUUCCUCCGCAUUUUAAAAUUGGUGCAUUAUGGUUGUACAUAACUGCUUGCCUUUUAAUUCAACUUACAGUGAUUGCUGAAUUUCCUAUCUUUUUCUUAAUUAACCAAGACUUAAAUAUUUCCUUUUGAUCUAAAGGUUUUAACUUCUUCUUUUAGGAGAUAGGGAACAUUUCUUUAUUUUAGAUGGUGAACUUAAAAUACUGCCUUAUAAAAUUAGACUUUUAAUUCUCAGUUUCAGUAGUAAAAUGAGGCCUAGCCCAUGUUCUUUCUUCUGGACAUGCAGUGAACAAUCAGGCCUUUGAGAUCAUAGUUGAUAGUAAAAUGGCAGCUGCGGAAGGAUUAGAACUUAAUUUUGUUCAUUGCUGCAUCACCAGUGUCCGGAGUAGUACAUUCCAUCCAAAAAUACCGGUUGAAUGCAUGAAUCUUCACCACUUAAGCAAAGUAGGUGGAUGCAGUAAUGUUUUUGAUUUUCUCCUUGUUUGUAUUUUUAGUUAUACUUGUCUUAAGCAGUAAAGGUUUUUAGGAAACUUGAGUUUGAGGGAAUGAGUUUAAGCCAUAGUUGCUUUACCCAGAUGAUAAAUGUUUGUGUUUGACUUAAUGCCAAUGAUUAAAUCAUCUCUCCACCAAGGAAUAAUCCUACCCAACCUACUACAGGUAUCCUAAUUUUGAAUAUCUAAAAGUUAAUAGACAUAAGGAAAAAAGAAAAAAAAUAUAUCCCUUCCAGUGGCAGUUGUAAAGCUUUUUUAAAAAAAAAUAUUUUUAAAUUUUUAUUUAUUUAUUUAAUUUUUACAUAGGAUCUAGCUAUGUUGACCAGGAUGGUUCUGAACUUUUGGACUCAAGUGAUCCCAUCUUAACCUCUAAAGUAGCUGGGACUACAGGUCUGCGUCACUGUGCCUUGCUGUAAAAUCAUUUCUUAAAAUUUAAUAAUCCCGGAUUUACAAUUUAGUAUUGCCUCCACACUCAAGGUGUGUUCCAAAUCUGUUCUUUUUUUUUUUUUAACUAUUCAGUGCAUGUGCAAGAAGAUCAAUUUGUUUUCAUAUCCACAGUAAAUAAGAUUGUUUUAAAAUUAUUUAAUGUUGCUUGCCUUAAAGUUUUGAACUCUUAAUAUCCUGCAUUUGAAAAGUUACAGGGCUAUUUGAAAAUUACUCCAUUUUUCAAAAUGUAUUUCAGUUAAAAAAAAAAAAGUUCUCCACUGUCCCCCUCUCCCAUCCCCCCAAACAUUUUAGGAUGCCUGGCCUUUGUUUUAGUUUUUCCUGUUUUAUUUAUUUUUUUCAGAAUAAUAGGCAUGAGUUUAUUAGAAAGGAUAGGAAAGGAGAGAAGGGGACACAGUAAAGGGAGAGAGUAGGUUCUCUCAGGAGAGGGACGCUUGUUUAUAUUUACUGAUUAGUUUUUAUGUUUUUUAAAAAGUUGGGGCUAUGGCUGUGGCUCAGUGGUAGCACACUUGCCUGGCAUGUGUGAGGCACUGGGUUUGAUUCUCAGCACCACAUAGAUCUUUAUUUAUUCAUUUAUUUCUAUCAACAACUUAAAAAUUUUUUUUAAAAAAGUUGGGGCUGGAGUUGUGGCUCUGUGGUAGAAUGGUUGCCUAGCAUGGGUGAGGCACUGGGUCAGAUCCUCAGCACCACAAAAAAGCAAAUAAAAAAAAAUAAAGGUUAAAUUCUUCAAAAAAUGUAAUGGCUUCAAAAGAUUAUAUAAAUCAUCCAGAUUGGUGUACCUCUUUGCCCUGUUGAAGCUAGUGUGGUAGGUGGCACAUAGGUAAUCACAAACUAUACUGAGUAUAUACUAAAUUUGUCCAUUCCUUCUUGGCCUUCUCAGGGCCUCUGUGACUUUCAUAGUCAACCUCAUUAUCUUCCAGAAAGAGAGUUCAUUGAGUAUAUUGUGUUAGGUUUCUUUCUCUGAUCAAACUGUGUGAUAAUAUCUCGUGUCAUAGUAUUUAAUAUUUAACUAUGUUGAUUUUUAUUCUUUAGGGUUAUCUCUUACAAUAGAUAAAAUCAUAUUCAUAUAGUGUAAUAUGUAAUGGUAAAAAACUUGUAUCUUAAUUCAGAUAGCUUCAGAAUGAUUUAUUUUAUUUUGGGUACUGGGAAUUGAACUCAGGGUCACUUGACCACUUUGCCACAGCCUAUUUUGUAUUUUAUUUAGAGACAGGGUCUCAUUGAGUUUCUCAGUGCCUUGCUUUUGCUGAGGCUGGCUUUGAACUCUUGAUCCUCCUGCCUCGGCCUCUGGAGCUGCUGGCUACUGCAUCUGGCCAGAAGGAUUUAAUUUUUGUAUUCCCUUGUGAUGGAACAUAAGAGUAACUUUAACAUUUAAGAGUUAAUUAACCCCUACCUCACCCAACAUAACCAUAUUAAAUUCUCUAGCUCUAAAAUUAAGAUUAUGUUCAAGGCCCCCAAACAUAACUACUUUGAGGUACAUCUGACUUUUAUCAUAGGAAGGUGCUCGUCACCUUUUUUUUUUUUUCUUUUUGUAGAUGGACAGAAUGCCUUUACUUUAUUUGUUUAUUUUUAUGUGGUACUGGGGAUCAAACCCAGUGCCUCACGCUUGUCUCCCGCCGAGCUUCUUUUAGACUCAUGGCCCUUAUGUGACAAAUAGUCCUUAGAGACAUGGGCAUUGUAUUUUGCUGGUGGUGUUUCACAGUUAUAUGCUUAUUUCCAGUCAAGAAGAUGUUUGAUUUUGGUUAUUGGGAAGAAGAUGAUUCUUUGCUGUAAUUGAAGCCUACCUGUCUCAGCCUUUUCGUUGAAUCUGUCUUUUUAUUUGGUUCAUUUCUUGGAAUUUCAUGGGCACCUGUGGAAAUUUUACAUGAACACUUAAUGAACAUAUUUCUGACAGAAUAAGUAAUUUCUAAAACAUGUCAGAUAAUUCUUAGAAUAGAUGUAGUGAUUUUGUGUUGAAUUUAAUCCCACCCCACAACCCCAAUUAUCUUUUUUUGGAGGGGGGUACUGGGGAUUGAACUCAGGAGCACUUGACCACUAGUCACAUCCCCAUCCCUUUUUUGUACUUUACCUAGAGACAGGGUCUCACUGUGUUGCUUAGCACCUAGCUUUUGCUGAGGCUGGCUUUGAACCCCCAAUCCUCCUUUCUCAGCCUCCCAAGCCUCUGGGAUUACAGGUGUGCACCAUCACACCCGGCCACAACCCUAAUUAUCUGAUGGACGUAUAUCUUCUUGGGAGGUUACUAGAAUAGCGUACAUAGCUGGCUAGCUUCCUUGAAUUCCACCCUCAUUUUCUAAUGAAAUAGUUAUUUUUCUGAUUCUGAGUUUCAGUAUUCAUUAUAUUCUUCUUCACGUAUAUGACUUCAUGUCACUUGAACCAUCAGCUCAAAAGAAUUGUGUCUAUAAAUAUUGAGAGAAAUAAUCACAAAGGAAUUAGGUCAAUUAGGUCUUUUAUUUCUGUAAAGGUCAGAAUAGUUGCCUAGUAGAGAACAAAUUCUUUGUGCCCCUUACUUUUUUCUUAAAAAAGAUUCAUUGGUAGAAGGCAAUUAUAUGUACCAAAAACUUUAAGUAGAAGUCCAAACCAGAGUAGCUGUGACCUUAGAUUUUAACGUACCUGUUCGUUUAAGUUGCGGAGAUUUCCCUGACAAGCUGUCAGAAAUGAUGCUUUCUUGACUGAAGAAAAUCCCUAAAAUAGGAGGUUCCUGGAAAGCUCUUUUUUGUAUAUUUCUACUGUUGUAGAAGGCAUGCAAAGACCUGGCUGGGUCUUAAUUCUGUGAUUUAAAUAUUAUAAAAUUUGUGGUUAUUUGCUGCAAUAAAGAGUGUUUUCUGAACAGUGUUUAUUGCAGCAAGAAAAAUCCAUCAUAUGUUCUACCUUGUACAGAAAAAUCUGGCAGUGAAAUCUAUCUUGAUUCUUAAAAUAUUUGUCAUUAUAAAAUGUGUUUCUUUUGCAGAUUUCCUUGUGAAACCUUCUGAUAGAAAAAGUUCUCAGUACAAACUUCAUUUGGUAAGUUAUACCCCCCGCAAUAUUCUCUCUCUGCUGAUUUGAAGCAGGAAAAAAUGAUUUACAGAAUGAUGGUGGUGGU
rnacentral:lncRNA from 1 species